CAGUAGCCGCGGUAACACGGAGGGUGCAAGCGUUAAUCGGAAUUACUGGGCGUAAAGCGCACGCAGGCGGUCUGUCAGGUCAGAUGUGAAAUCCCCGGGCUUAACCUGGGAACUGCAUUUGAAACUGGCAGGCUAGAGUCUUGUAGAGGGGGGUAGAAUUCCAGGUGUAGCGGUGAAAUGCGUAGAGAUCUGGAGGAAUACCGGUGGCGAAGGCGGCCCCCUGGACAAAGACUGACGCUCAGGUGCGAAAGCGUGGGGAGCAAACAGGAUUAGAUACCCGUGUAGUCCCUGUCUCUUAUAA
rnacentral:rRNA from 1 species